GCCAAAAAGCUCAGUUGAGAGAGCGUUAGACUAAAGAUCUAAAGGUCCCAGGUCCGAUCCCGGGUUUCGGCA
rnacentral:tRNA from 1 species